AAUAUUGGACAAUGGGCGAAAGCCUGAUCCAGCCAUGCCGCGUGUGUGAAGAAGGUCUUCGGGUUGUAAAGCACUUUAAGCAGUGAAGAAGACUCCAUGGUUAAUACCCAUGGACGAUGACAUUAGCUGCAGAAUAAGCACCGGCUAACUCUGUGCCAGCAACCGCGGUAAUACGGAGGGUGCAAGCGUUAAUCGGAAUUACUGGGCGUAAAGCCAAGGUAAGGGGGUUGAUAAGGCAGAUGUUAAAGCCCCGGGCCUAAACGGGGAACGGCAUCUGAUAAUGUUAGGCUAGAGUAGGUGAGAGGAAGGUAGAAUUCCAGGUGUAGCGGUGAAAUGCGUAGAGAUCUGGAGGAAUACCGAUGGCGAAGGCAGCCUUCUGGCAUCAUACUGACACUGAGGUUCGAAAGCGUGGGUAGCAAAC
rnacentral:rRNA from 1 species